rnacentral:tRNA from 1 species
GUCUUCUUAGUAUAAAAGUACAUUUGAUUUCCAAUCAAAAAGUUUGAAUUUCAAAGAAAACA